rnacentral:rRNA from 1 species
CCCUUAGACGUUCUGGGCCGCACGCGCGCUACACUGAUCGGUGCAACAAGCAUCCGUCCUUGGCCGACAGGCCCGGGCAAUCUUUGAACGCCGGUCGUGAUGGGGAUAGACCUUUGCAAUUUUUGGUCUUCAACGAGGAAUUCCUAGUAAACGCAAGUCAUCAACUUGCAUUGAUUACGUCCCUGCCCUUUGUACACACCGCCCGUCGCACCUACCGAUUGAAUGGUCCGGUGAAACCUCCGGAUUGGCGCGUGCCCUCGGGCGCCGCCGAGAAGUUGGUUAAACCUUACCAUUUAGAGGAAGGUGAAGUCGUANCA